AUUGAACGCUGGCGGCAGGCCUAACACAUGCAAGUCGAGCGAGCGGCGGACGGGUGAGUAAUGUAUGGGGACUGCCCGAUAGCGGGGGAUAACUACUGGAAACGGUGGCUAAUACCGCAUACUAUCGGAUAACCCAUAUGGGAUUAGCUAGUAGGUGGGGUAAAGGCUCACCUAGGCGACGAUCGCUAUCUGGUCUUAGAGGAGGAUCAGACACACUGGGACUGAGACAGGGCCCAGACGCCUACGGAGGCAGCAGUGGGGAAUAUUGGACAAUGGGCGCAAGCCGGAGGCAGCCAUGCCGCGUGUAUGAAGAAGGCCUUAGGGUUGUAAAGUACUUUCAGAGGGGAGGCGUUACCCGCAGAAGAAGCGCCGGCUAACUACGUGCCAGCAGCCGCGGUAAUUC
rnacentral:rRNA from 1 species